GCCAAAUCCGACGUCACGGGUUGUCCAUUCGCGUGGACCUAAGAGGGAAGGAGGUGAAAUACCUCCGCUGCCCCCGCAACUGUGACCGGGGAGCUUACGCCCGAUACACCACUGCAUUUACGCGGGAAGGUGGGCGACAAGUGCUGAUCCGGGAGCCAGGAGACCUGCCAGUGAUGGUCGCUUAAG
rnacentral:ncRNA from 2 species